UCCCUGGUGGCUCAGACAGCAAAGAAUCUGCCUGCAAUGCAGGAGACCCAGGUUCGAUCCCUGGGUUGGGAA
rfam:Ovis aries breed Texel chromosome 2, whole genome shotgun sequence.